AACGCAAAUGGCACUAUCACGACGAGUGAUAGUAUGUCUGUUUGAGAACCAUAAAACAACUCACCACUUUGUUAGUGUGUGGACGUGUCCCUUUAUUUUUUGUAAUAUUAUUAAUAUGGGACUAAAUGAAUGUCGCUGCGUGGAUUACACAGAAUAUGUGAUAGUUAUAUUCAUAUUCCGAGUGAUCUCUGUAUACGUGCACUCUUAGUUGUGUGUGUUUUGUAUGAUAUAUUAUACCAUACAAAACCAAUAUAACAUCAUUAUUAUAUUGGUCUCAAAUUAGACAAGGUUACCCGCUGAACUUAA
rnacentral:misc_RNA from 1 species